rnacentral:rRNA from 1 species
UACGUAGGUGGCGAGCGUUGUCCGGAAUUACUGGGUGUAAAGGGCGUGUAGGCGGGGACUACAAGUCAGAUGUGAAAUUCCAGAGCUCAACUCUGGCGCUGCAUCUGAAACUGUGUCUCUUGAGUGCUGGAGAGGAAAGCGGAAUUCCUAGUGUAGCGGUGAAAUGCGUAGAUAUUAGGAGGAACACCAGUGGCGAAGGCGGCUUUCUGGACAGUAACUGACGCUGAGGCGCGAAAGCGUGGGGA